UGUUAGCACAAGAGGAGGCUGACAUCAAUGGAAAUAUAUACGGUGUAUAACAGGGACAAUUUUCCUCAACGAAAACAUGGAUCACUUGCUGUACGUUAUUUAUUUCUGUCAUAAGAUUCAAAGGCAAUGUGAUAUAGCAUAAAAUAAAGAACCCCAGACGAGACGUGUCAACGUGGCUGAAAGAACCGGAACUGGUGCAAAAGGUCCUCUGGUCUCCGACUGUCUGAAGAGGACAUUUCUACAAAGAUCAUGUGUCAGUCAAUCAGCGCUACAGUGAGCUUGGACUACAUUAGGCAGUGCGGGAAAUGUUGACUCUGCUGGGGGAAGGAGGAGGAGGGCAACAGAGACAUGCACAGCCCCCCUGUAAAUCCGGCUUUUGUUGAACAGCAACUGACCAGCCCACCUGUUCCGGUUUUCAGUCUAUUCUAAUAUUGGAGGCAUAACAAGGUGCUGCUGUGAUGCUGAGCAGAGCCUCUGCAGACACUGCAAUACCUCAACACUACAAACUAGACCCAAGUUGUAAACAGCGAUUAAACCUGUGCCUUGGUUCUAUUCUAUAGGUAUUGACCCAUAUGCCUCAUUUAUUUUCAAAAGGUUGCAAUGU